AUUGAACGCUGGCGGCAUGCCUUACACAUGCAAGUCGAACGGUAACAGGUCUUCGGAUGCUGACGAGUGGCGAACGGGUGAGUAAUACAUCGGAACGUGCCCGAUCGUGGGGGAUAACGAAGCGAAAGCUUUGCUAAUACCGCAUAAGAUCUACGGAUGAAAGCAGGGGACCGCAAGGCCUUGCGCGAACGGAGCGGCCGAUGGCAGAUUAGGUAGUUGGUGGGAUAAAAGCUUACCAAGCCGACGAUCUGUAGCUGGUCUGAGAGGACGACCAGCCACACUGGGACUGAGACACGGCCCAGACUCCUACGGGAGGCAGCAGUGGGGAAUUUUGGACAAUGGGCGAAAGCCUGAUCCAGCCAUGCCGCGUGCAGGAUGAAGGCCUUCGGGUUGUAAACUGCUUUUGUACGGAACGAAAAGACUCUGGUUAAUACCUGGGGUCCAUGACGGUACCGUAAGUAUAAGCACCGGCUAACUACGUG
rnacentral:rRNA from 1 species